rnacentral:tRNA from 1 species
GAGGGUAUAGCUCAGUAGUAGAGCACAUGCUUAGCAUGCAUGAGGUCUUGGGUUCAAUCGUCAGUACCUCCA